GACCCGGAGACUCCGACCCGGGAGGCGCGACGCUCAGCCUCCGCCGCGCAAAGCGGCGGCAUCUGCCGCCCCCUGCCGGCCCGGGUCGGCGCGCGCUUUGCUCAGCAGCGUUCCAGAAAAGCGGAGCACCUCCAAGGCACGUCCAGAGUAAAGGCCGCCUGCCGCGUGGGCCGGAGUUAAGCCUCCCUGCGUCAGAGCGGUGGCCCCAGGCGCUGGGAUCGCCGCAGAAGAGGCGGUUUCAGGGCUGCGUCGCUGGAAACUCCAAGCCCUAGCGGGAAGCCAACUUUCCACAUUGAGCACGUAACAUAAUCUACUUUAUCUCCUCUGGUUUACCGUCUCUCCAGCGAGCAAGCCUCUGCAAAAUCGGGCUUACGAAGAAGUUUUCUUCAAGAAGCAAAUGUUGGCUGUGCCGAUUCCCUGCCUGGGAGUUGUUGGCCGCAUCGAACUGAUGCCCUUAAACGCAUUUGAACAAUCAAUCAGGAAGGCGAUUUGAAAAGGAACGUUCCAUUCGACUGAACAGGUUUCUACUUGAGCACCAAGACGCCCUCUGCAGGUUUGGGGAUAUAAAAGAGAACUAAAAUGAGGCGUGUGUUUCCUGCAGGAGUUCAACUCAGCUUGGCGAUGUCCAUCCCCAAAGCAGGAAGCAAACCGAACUCUGCACAACCAAGAGGCAAACUCAGUGCAAGAUAUUAAAAUGUGCAGACCUGAGCCGAUAGUCCCGGGGCAGUGGCCCCAGAGUAAGUUGGUCUAAGCAGCACCCUUUAGGCAGUGGCCUCUGAUUUGGAUUCUGCUUUGUCUACCUGUCCUUGGCUUUGCCUCAUUGCUGCAAAUGCAGCAGGCGCUCCAUAAAUGCUUAUUUAUGGUUGAUGCAAUGGUUGAUAACUUUGGUGGAUAAUGAGAAGCUGGAGGCUUUCUGCAGCAGUGAGGCUGAAGGGUCUGGCUGGGGCAUUCAAUGCCCUGCCAGUCCCUACCCCAACCAGCCUCACUAGCUGUGUGACACUGGACCCGUUAUGAACCUCUCCUCAUGCCCCGGCCAGCAAAAUGCAAAUGAUAAUAACAGUGCCUCCUUCUUAGGAUCAGGAUGAAGGAACAGAAAGGAUGUUUGCCUGGAUCUCGGGGGAGUCCUAGUGCUGACUCAGUGUGAGCUGCUCUGAGCGAAAACCCCGCCCAACAUCCUUCUAAGAGUGCUGGUGUGAGACUCCUGUGAACUCUCUAGAAUAGUCCAUUGCUUUAUGCUUACGCUGUGCCUGUGGAGCUAAAUCAUGGAGGACCAUGCCAUGCCAUAACGGAAGUCUCUAUGCCUUCAGUCUGGUACACACCUGAGCAAUACAUUCCUUUUUGCUCUUUACACACUACAAUAUCUGAUGGCCCAUUCACAAAACCCUGCUUCAUGUUUAUCUGAGCUCUCAUGAUGCUGAUACAUUAUGAAGGUGAGGAAGAAUGUAUAGGCAGAAGACCAUAGGAGGGCAACCUGAUUUACAAAAUAACAGGUGUGGAAUCAAAUCAUUCAAGAAGCUUCCAGGAGGAAAGGGGACAAAAGGCAUACCACCACCACCCAAAUUAAAAAAAUCAAACAGGAAAGGGAAAAUUACAUGGAUAUAGAAUUUCUUCAUGACAUUGUUCCUGAUGCUUUAUCCAUAAAGCAGUAGUAAAAUAUUAAGUUAAAAAAAUGUUUAUCUAUUUAUUUGAGACAGAGACAGAGACAGAGAGCA